rnacentral:ncRNA from 1 species
UCGGAUGAUUCUAACCCCUUGUUGUGUCAUCAGACCCGCGGGCCAAGGGACAGUCUCAGGUACACAGUUUCUAUGGGGCGUAGGCCUCCCAAAAGGUAACGGAGGCGUGCAAAGGUUUCCUCGGGCCAGACGGACAUUGGUCCUCGAGUGCAAAGGCAGAAGGGAGCUUGACUGCAAGACUCACCCGUCGAGCAGAGACGAAA